AACGAACGCUGGCGGCAUGCCUAACACAUGCAAGUCGAACGAGACCUUCGGGUCUAGUGGCGCACGGGUGCGUAACGCGUGGGAACCUGCCCUUAGGUUCGGAAUAACUCCCCGAAAGGGGUGCUAAUACCGGAUAAUGUCUUCGGACCAAAGAUUUAUCGCCUUUGGAUGGGCCCGCGUUGGAUUAGCUAGUUGGUAGGGUAAAAGCCUACCAAGGCGACGAUCCAUAGCUGGUCUGAGAGGAUGAUCAGCCACACUGGGACUGAGACACGGCCCAGACCCCUCGGGGAGGCAGCAGUGGGGAAUUUUGGAAAAUGGGGGAAAGCCGGACCCAGCAAGGCCGGGGGAGGGAUGAAGGCCUUAGGGUUGUAAAGCUCUUUUCCCCGGGAUGAUAAUGAAAGUCCCGGGAGAAUAAGCCCCGGCUAACUCCGG
rnacentral:rRNA from 1 species